GCUAGUAAUGGCAGGUCAGCAUACUGCCGUGAAUACGUUCCCGGGCCUUGUACACACCGCCCGUCACACCAUGGGAGUCAGUAACGCCCGAAGUCAGUGACCCAACCAUAUAGGAGGGAGCUGCCGAAGGCGGGACCGAUAACUGGGGUGAAGUCGUAACAAGGUAGC
rnacentral:rRNA from 1 species